GUCUGUGGCCUUGCCACCCCGAACAAGCCCAAUCCCAUCUGAUUUCGGAAGCUAAGCAGGGUUGGGCCUGGUUAGUACUUGGGUGGGAGACCACCUAGGAAGACCAGGUGCUGUAGGCG
rfam:Pteropus alecto contig1844, whole genome shotgun sequence.